GGUCAGGUCUGGUGUCUGCAGUAUUAGACUAUCAGAGGGGUUUGGGUCAGGUCUGGUGUCUUCAGUAUUAGACUGUCAGAGUGGUUUGGGUCAGGUCUGGUGUCUGCAGUAUUAGACUAUCAGAGGGGUUUGGGUCAGGUCUGGUGUCUGCAGUAUUACACUAUCAGAAGGGUUUGGGUCAGGUCUGGUGUCUGCAGUAUUAGACUAUCAGAGUGGUUUGGGUCAGGUCUGGUGUCUGCAGUAUUAGACUAUCAGAGGGGUUUGGGUCAGGUCUGGUGUCUGCAGUAUUAGACUAUCAGAGGGGUUUG